rnacentral:rRNA from 1 species
UACGUAGGGGGCGAGCGUUGUCCGGAUUCAUUGGGCGUAAAGAGCUCGUAGGCGGCUUGGCAAGUCGGAUGUGAAAACUCCAGGCUCAACCUGGAGCCGCCAUUCGAUACUGCUAUGGCUAGAGUCCGGUAGGGGAGUGUGGAAUUCCCGGUGUAGCGGUGAAAUGCGCAGAUAUCGGGAGGAACACCGAUGGCGAAGGCAGCACUCUGGGCCGGUACUGACGCUGAGACGCGAAAGCGUGGGGAGCAAACAGG